UCAUCAGGUGGGAUAAUCCUUACCUGUUACUCCUUAAGGAGAACAGAUUAGAAAUGAUUGGAGUUCUUCGCAUGAUACGUGAUUAUACGUCUCUGUGUAAUCAGGACUUGCAAAGAACACAGAUUACUUUUGGAGCUUAU
rnacentral:snoRNA from 1 species